rnacentral:rRNA from 1 species
CGGAGUGAUGGUGCUUGCACUAUCACUUAGCGGCGGACGGGUGAGAAAUGCUUAGGAAUCUGCCUAUUAGUGGGGGACAACAUUUCGAAAGGAAUGCUAAUACCGCAUACGUCCUACGGGAGAAAGCAGGGGAUCUUCGGACCUUGCGCUAAUAGAUGAGCCUAAGUCGGAUUAGCUAGUUGGUGGGGUAAAGGCCUACCAAGGCGACGAUCUGUAGCGGGUCUGAGAGGAUGAUCCGCCACACUGGGACUGAGACACGGCCCAGACUCCUACGGGAGGCAGCAGUGGGGAAUAUUGGACAAUGGGCGCAAGCCUGAUCCAGCCAUGCCGCGUGUGUGAAGAAGGCCUUAUGGUUGUAAAGCACUUUAAGCGAGGAGGAGGCUACUGAAGUUAAUACCUUCAGAUAGUGGACGUUACUCGCAGAAUAAGCACCGGCUAACUCUGUGCCAGCAGCCGCGGUAAUACAGAGGGUGCAAGCGUUAAUCGGAUUUACUGGGCGUAAAGCGCGCGUAGGCGGCUAAUUAAGUCAAAUGUGAAAUCCCCGAGCUUAACUUGGGAAUUGCAUUCGAUACUGGUUAGCUAGAGUGUGGGAGAGGAUGGUAGAAUUCCAGGUGUAGCGGUGAAAUGCGUAGAGAUCUGGAGGAAUACCGAUGGCGAAGGCAGCCAUCUGGCCUAACACUGACGCUGAGGUGCGAAAGCAUGGGGAGCAAACAGGAUUAGAUACCCUGGUAGUCCAUGCCGUAAACGAUGUCUACUAGCCGUUGGGGCCUUUGAGGCUUUAGUGGCGCAGCUAACGCGAUAAGUAGACCGCCUGGGGAGUACGGUCGCAAGACUAAAACUCAAAUGAAUUGACGGGGGCCCGCACAAGCGGUGGAGCAUGUGGUUUAAUUCGAUGCAACGCGAAGAACCUUACCUGGCCUUGACAUAGUAAGAACUUUCCAGAGAUGGAUUGGUGCCUUCGGGAACUUACAUACAGGUGCUGCAUGGCUGUCGUCAGCUCGUGUCGUGAGAUGUUGGGUUAAGUCCCGCAACGAGCGCAACCCUUUUCCUUAUUUGCCAGCGAGUAAUGUCGGGAACUUUAAGGAUACUGCCAGUGACAAACUGGAGGAAGGCGGGGACGACGUCAAGUCAUCAUGGCCCUUACGGCCAGGGCUACACACGUGCUAUUAUGUUUUGGUACAAAGGGUUGCUACCUAGCGAUAGGAUGCUAAUCUCAAAAAGCCGAUCGUAGUCCGGAUUGGAGUCUGCAACUCGACUCCAUGAAGUCGGAAUCGCUAGUAAUCGCGGAUCAGAAUGCCGCGGUGAAUACGUUCCCGGGCCUUGUAC